GUAUAGCCAGUUAAGCCAACCAUGUUCUUUUCCCCAUGGGGCCCACUGUGCAGUGGUUGCAAACAGCAGCCUCCUUGGUAGCCUGUUGCCUGUACAGAUUGCCCUAAGGGACCUUGGAGAUAACU
ensembl:snoRNA SNORA70 Small nucleolar RNA SNORA70